rnacentral:rRNA from 1 species
UACGUAGGGUGCAAGCGUUGUCCGGAAUUAUUGGGCGUAAAGAGCUCGUAGGCGGUUUGUCGCGUCGACUGUGAAAACCCGAGGCUUAACCUCGGGCCUGCAGUCGAUACGGGCGGACUAGAGUUCGGUAGGGGAGACUGGAAUUCCUGGUGUAGCGGUGAAAUGCGCAGAUAUCAGGAGGAACACCGGUGGCGAAGGCGGGUCUCUGGGCCGAUACUGACGCUGAGGAGCGAAAGCGUGGGGAGCGAACAGG